rnacentral:rRNA from 1 species
GACGAACGCUGGCGGCGUGCCUAAUACAUGCAAGUCGAGCGCUCAAGGUUGGUGCUUGUUCCGCUUGGAUGAGCAGCGGACGGGUGAGUAACGCGUGGGUAAUCUACCUUUGAGCGGGGGACAACUUUUGGAAACGAAUGCUAAUACCGCAUAAUAUCUUUAAACACAAGUUUUAAGUGUGAAAGAUGCAAUUGCAUCACUCAAAGGUGAUCUCGCGUUGUAUUAGCCAGUUUGUGAGGUAAAGGCUCACCAAGGCGAUGAAACAUAGCCGACCUGAGAGGGUGGUUGGCCACAAUGGGAAUGAGAAACGGCCCAAAAUCCCAAGGGAAGGAGCAGUAAGGAAUCUUCGGGAAUGGACGAAAGUCCUGACGAAGAAAGCCGGGUGAGGGAAGGAGGGUCUCGGAUCGUAAAACUCUGUUGGUAGGGAAAAAAGAAGGGGAGAGUGGAAAGUGCAUCAAGUGACGGUAACUAAUCAGAAAGAGACGGCUAACUACGUG